UACGUAGGUGACAAGCGUUGUCCGGAUUUAUUGGGCGUAAAGCGAGCUCAGGCGGUCUUUUAAGUCUGGUGUGAAAGCCCACAGCUCAACCGUGGAGGGUCAUUGGAAACUGGAAGAUUUGAAUGCAGAAGAGGAAAGUGGAACUCCAUGAGUAGCGGUGAAAUGCGUAGAUAUAUGGAGGAACACCAGUGGCGAAGGAGACUUUCUGGUCUGUAAUUGACGCUGAGGCUCGAAAGCGUGGGGAGCAAACAGG
rnacentral:misc_RNA from 1 species